rnacentral:misc_RNA from 1 species
UGGAUCUUCAGCUUGCAGUUG